GAUAAAAACACUAGUUGUCCUAAGGCGACUACCUGGACUGAUACUGACACUGAGGUGCGAAAGCGUGGGGAGCAUUAGGAUAAAAUACCCUGGUAGUCCACGCCGUAAACGAUGUCUACUAGCCGUUGGGGGUCUUGAACUCUUAGUGGCGCAGCUAACGCAUUAAGUUGACCGCCUGGGGAGUACGGCCGCAAGGUUAAAACUCAAAUGAAUUGACGGGGGCCCGCACAAGCGGUGGAGCAUGUGGUUUAAUUCGAAGCAACGCGAAGAACCUUACCAGGCCUUGACAUCCAAUGAACUUUCUAGAGAUAGAUUGGUGCCUUCGGGAACAUUGAGACAGGUGCUGCAUGGCUGUCGUCAG
rnacentral:rRNA from 1 species